GAUAAUGCAACUUAAUUUUUUUCGGAUACAGUUAAAUUAAAAUAAAGAGUUUGAUAUUAAGAUUUAUUGGGUGAAAUCAUUAAUUUUUAAAGUAAACUUGGUUUUGUUUAUGAGGCUGGGAAAUUCAAUAUUUAAACUAGGAUUAGAUACCCUAUUAUUUUGAACGUAAAUGUAUUUCCGGAUUAGUAGUAGAUAUGUUCUUGAAAAUUAAAAAUUUUGGCGGUAUUUUAGUCUGUUCAGAGGAACCUGUCCUGUAAUCGAUGAUCCACGAGUUAAAUAACUUUUUCUUUUAGUUUAUAUAUCGUCGUAGUUUGAAAAUUUUAAAAGAAUAUUAAUUUUCAUAGUUUUUUUUUAAAAAGGAUAUCAGAUCAAGGUGUAGCUUAUGAAAAAGGAAGUGAUGGGUUACAUUAAUUUUAUUUAGGGAUUUUAUUUUGUAAAAAUAGAUGAAUUUGGAUUUGAUAGUAAUUUUAAUUAGAUUAUUAUUGUGAUUUAAGCUCUAAAAUAUGCACAUAUCGCCCGUCGCUUUCACUCUAAAGUGAAAUAAGUCGUAACAAAGUAGGCUUACUGGAAAGUGAGCCUGGAAAGAACAGGCUAGAGCUUGUUAAAAAGCAUUUUAGUUACAUUAAAAAGUUAGUUGUGAAAAUCAAUUUGGCUUGAAUGGAAAAAAUUAUUUUAUUUUUAUUGCUAAUUUUGGUUUAAAAUAAGAAUAUUGAUUUUUAUUAUUAGGUUAAGAAAUAAUUUUAUUUAUAAUAGGUUAAUAGUACUGUGAAGGAACUUUAAAAUAUUUUGUAAAGAAGAAUUAGUUUUU
rnacentral:rRNA from 1 species